AUUGAACGCUGGCGGCAGGCCUAACACAUGCAAGUCGAGCGAGCGGCGGACGGGUGAGUACUGUCUGGGAAACUGCCUGACGGAGGGGGAUAACUACUGGAAACGGUAGCUAAUACCGCACACCAUCCGAUGUGCACAGAUGGGAUUAGCUAGUCGGUGGGGUAACGGCUCACCAAGGAGACGAUCCCUAGCGGGUCUGAGCGGAUGACCAGCAAACCUGGACCUGAGACCAGGUCCAGACUCCUACGGGAGGCAGCAGUGGGGAAUAUUGCACAAGGGGCUCACGCCUGAGGCAGCAAUGCCGCGUGUGUGAGGAAGGUCUUCGGUUUGUAAAGCACUUUCUGCGGGGAGGCGUUACCCACACAGGAAGCACCGGCUAACUCCGUGCCAGCAGCCGCGGUAAUUC
rnacentral:rRNA from 1 species